CAUUAAAAUGCAAAAGUUGAUGAAAAAGUAUGAUAAGGUGAAAAAAGUGACAUUUUAUGUCUAGAAAGUCAGUUUUCAUCAAAAGUACAAUAACAAAAUUAGUUCCCAUUCAUCCUGUGUCCCCUAACACACUUGUGCUCUUUAUCCGCUCAAAACGCUAUACAGCGAACGAGAAGGCGCUAGGAGCAAGGAAAGUGGUUUUUCUAACAAAGUCAUAUAAUCAGUUGUCCGACCUACUCCAAUUUGAUUUUUUUCACAUAGUUAGACAUAAUUUAGUACUAUGAAAUGUUUCUGACCCAAAAUAUUACGAAAUAUGAUUGUUUACAUUAAAAUGCAAAAGUUGAUGAAAAAGUAUGAUAAGGUGAAAAAAGUGACAUUUUAUGUCUAGAAAGUCAGUUUUCACCAAAAGUACAAUAACAAAAUUAGUUCCCAUUCAUCCUGUGUCCUCUAACACACUUGUGCUCUUUAUCCGCUCAAAACGCUAUACAGCGAACGAGAAGGCGCUAGGAGCAAAGGAAAGUGGUUUUUCUAACAAACUCAUAUAAUCAAGUGCACGACGUACUCCAAUUUGAUUUUUUUCACAUAGUUAGACAUAAUAUAGUACUAUGAAAU
ensembl:lncRNA